CAAUAUUAUAUUUUAGUUAUAUCUUAAUUAUAAAAAAUUUAAAAAUGCUUCAACAUUUAAUAGUACAUGAUUUUUGUUUAUUUCGUACUGCCUCUAUUUAUUUAUUUUAUUACUCCUGAUUGCUCUUCAUCCAGUUAAUGGUUCUAACAAGUACUUACUGAUAGCAUUAUAUGCCAGCCGUGUAUGAAGAAGGAACAUACAAGAUGGUUCUCUCUUUUCAAGGUGAUUGAACUCUAAUGGGGCAAAACUGAACACAGGAAAAUAAGCACUCAAGAACAAGUAACUAUUAAACAGCAAAAAGGAGCCUAGAGAAGUUUCAGAAUCAGGGAUAUAAACUGGGCUUGAGGGAAGGAGAGGAUCUGGACAAGGAAGAGAAAAUUAAAGGCAUUUAAUGGACAACAAGCAUAUGCAACAAACAAUGGACUGGAGCUGGGUGAGACCCGGGUGAAAGUCUAGGAAAGGAUACGUGUGCUCUCAGCCGGAUGUUGAACCAGGACCCCUGUGAAGCCCCCAUCAAUGGAAGACUCUGUGGUGGUGUCAUAUGUGCCUGUUGUAGAAGAUCUGACAAAACCUUAGCAAACCUUUCCUGGAAGCCAGGUAGGGCACUUAUAGCAAUCACCCUGGUAAAGAAAGGGAAUCCCUGGAUAAUGCUAGAAACCCCGCCCAGCGUCCUCUCACGGGAAGUCACAACCCUUCUGUCCGUUAAAGUCUCCAUGCAGGAAGGGCUUCUGGUCACCUCGGAGUCCUGGGAGUGACUCCUUACCGGUAGUUUACUGUUAAUGUGAGACAUUUGUGAAUAUUAAGAGAAUUCCUGACCUGGGUUUACAGGGGAGCAUCCAUUUCUGUUUUUUCCCACUCCCACUCUUUCUUUCUCUCUCUCUCUCAUCUUUAUGUUUCAGUUCUCACUCAAGCAGAUUAUCUAGCACAAUGUGUUAAGCAGUGGAGAGAGAUGAUGAAAUGAAUACCCAGUCUCUACAGAAGACUUGAAUAUAUGCAAUGAAUUGUUAGGCAACUGCGGCAAAAGAUUGAAAAUGGAAUCCAUAGAGAUUACCUUGAUAUAUAAAGAUAGUUUUAGACUUUGGACCCAAUUUAUCAAAGAGCUGAGGAUAAGCCUCAUAGCUCUGGUAGAGAGUCACCUGCACUGUUAUAAAGACGCUGCUUCAUGCAUAAUGCUUCUGUGACAUUCCUCUUCAAGGCUUCUGAGGACUCUCUCUGGAGAUAUUCUUGGGAAAGUGGUGGCAGUGAUCUUGAACUCUCAGCGCUUUACAGUCUGAUGGCCAUCAGCCAUUUCAGCGUGUAUAUUAUCUGGGCAUUCAUUCCAUGAGGUUUUCUCUAGUUCUUUUUUUUUUUUUUUUUUCUCUUUCAAAACUCCGAGAUCAUUUCUGGCACUAGUUCCCUGAAACCUAAAUUAGUUAAAUUUUCACUGAUAUUUAGAGAAAGCUUUUGUUCAUCUCAUAAAGAACCUCCAGUCUUUUUGAAGACAGAGAACUUAAAAGUCAGCUUUGGGGCAGAAUUCAUGUGUCUUUGUCUCUUUCAGUUGAUCUUGGCAACACCACACAUGUAACCCAAGACCAAAAUAAAGUUAUGUUCGGAAGGCAGUCACGAUUCAGUGAUCUUAUCCUGCAGAACGCCUUCUCUUGGCGUUUACAUCAUAUAAUUUGAAUCGUCCUGGAAAAGUUCUGAGUCUGCAAAACUGCCAGUGUGCAGCCAGAGGAUGAAAGUGGUGAGGUGUCAGCCCCCAGGAGCCCGAGGCUCACAGGCUGCAAGUCUUACCCCAAACGCCUGCUCUACUUUCUCCUGGCACUCACCCAAUGGGCCCAACCCUCAGAACCUUGAACAUGUUUGUGUAACCAGAGGUAAUGCCCUGCCAUGGGUACCAGGGGUGCAGACCUGCAGAUUUCAACUUCAAGUGGGAACUGAGCUUUACCCAUGAUGAAGGCCAAAAAAGAAGAUAAGAAAAAUAAG